AGCCAGUGAUGUUAGAAAAUAUUUGCUACUCUUGAUGGUGGGAAUGCCUACCAUAUGAUGAUCUCGAUCCACCAAGAUCUCUGAGGCU